UCUGCCAAGGUAAAGUACUCCUCCCACUAACCUCCAAAAUACAUAACAUAAGCUUAGAUCAUAUCCUCAAGAACAUAAAUUGUUUGUGUACUGGCCAUUUGCUUGUAGAUGAAGGACUAAGAUCCACAUGAGUACCGAAAUCCUCCCAAAAAGCAUUCUAAAAGCUAGAAGAGGACAUAAAACCUCAAUCUAAAAUAAUAGAUAUAGUCACACCAUGGAAAUGGACUAUCUCCC
rnacentral:lncRNA from 1 species